UUUAAUAGACGAACAGUCUACCUUACCAAGCACCUACACCCAGCAGGAAUUUUGAUCCAACAUCGAGGUCACAAACUUAUUUAUCAAUAAGAACUCUCCAAAUAAAUUAUGCUGUUAUCCCUACGGUAAUUUAUUCUAUUAAUCAUUAUUAAUGGAUCAAAAAUUAAAUAAAAUUAGACUAUAAUGUUUCUUUAAAAUAAUCACCCCAACCAAAUAUUAAUCAUCAUUAAAAUCACCUAAGAAAAUAAAAACUUAAAUAUAAAACUCAAUAGGGUCUUCUCGUCUUUUUGAGCCAAAUCAGCAUUUUUACUGACUAUUUAAUUUCAACAAUACAUAUAAGAAAGAAUCUCCUGUGUCCAACCCUUCAUACAAGACUACAAUUAAUAGCCUAAUUAUUAUGCUACCUUCGCACGGUCAAUAUACCGCGGCCAUUUAUACAUACAUAGAGCAGGCCAGAUUUUAAAUAAACAUUCAUAAAACC
rnacentral:rRNA from 1 species